UCCUCCUCCUCUUCCCUCCACAGCUCUCCUGGCUUCUAUCCAAAGCUGUGUUCCAGGUGGGGAACACCUAUGGAUGCACCAGGGUGCAACUACUCAGAGUCCAGUGUGCAGAAGGGCCCCUGCUCUAUGCUGUUUCCGUAUCCAAGCCCAAGCUCUUCUAGAGCUUCAGCAAAUCCAAGCCUCCCUGAAUUCCCUGCAAGACCAAACUGAGCCCUACAACCCCCACCACUCUUACAGUUCUGAAGUCCUACAAGAAUGUUGAGAUCCUAAGCCGACUCUCACCCAAAGAGGUAAACAACCAGGGGCCUCCAGGUUGAGAGAAUAUACCCAGACAGGUUCUGCUGCCUGUAGGCUUGAUGUCUUUCCCCUACAACACGCCUUGCUUGCCAGGCUGGAAGAGGGGCUCCAGAAACUUGGGAAACCUGGGCCUGUAGCUGGCAUGUGGAAAAGAGGCCUGGAAAAGCACCAUUCCUGUCCAUGAAGCCCCCAGAUGGAACCAGGUAAUU
rnacentral:lncRNA from 10 species